ACUGGUAGAAAAAGGGGCUGCAGAGCAUACAAAGAAAUCAGACAGGACUAAGGGAUCUGGCUCUCCAGUUUAUUGGCAUAUUGCAGACGCCAGAAAGAAAAAAAGAAGCCAGAGAUAAUCGCAGAUUACAACCGUUGCAAGGGAGGUGUCGACAAUCUAGACAAGGUUUGUUCUUCUACAGGAAAUUCAAGAGGCCACAAGAUGCAAAAAGCUUCAUCAACUGACCAGCUUUGCAGAAAGAAGCCUUUUGCACAAGGCUUUGCAAAUCAAAUAAAGGAACAGCUGAGUAAAGGUGGUGCUUACACCUCUUUCCCAAUGAGCCUUCUUUUGAUUGUAGUGGAAACAAUAGUUGAUGGUGAAUUUCCAUGCCCAUGCAGAGUGGAGCUGAAUGCAAUGUUCUCACUAUCCAUCUUCAUAGGACCAAUUCUUUUUGCUUUUACUUUAAUGGUACUGUUGUUAAGACCUUGUAAGUACUUUCAUGGAACAUUUUGGUGUGAUGAAACUAAGUUGGACUGUGCUAAAUCUUUCCUGCAUUGUUUGAUUCCACCUACUGUGUGGGUCAUUAUUGUGUUCCUCGAUGGCAGAUAUCUUGCCUGUGCCUGGACAGACUGGAAUGGAAUUUAUUCGCAUGAAAAUAAUUUAAAUUUGCAAUGGUGUAAGCCUACUCAAUCAGGAAGAAAUGCGACAGAACUACAAGAUCUAUCUCGCAAGUAUAUUGGUGUGUCCCAGUUAACAGGUUAUAUAAUGGUCUCUGCCCUUUCCGCAAUAAUAUUGAUCAUCGUGGCUACUUAUGAUUGCUGCAGAAAUGGAAAUGAACUGCAACCAGUGGAGUACCAGGAAAUGGGAGCAUUUCAACCUUGCAAUAACACCACCGAAUCUACGGAACCAGCAGAACCUUAGUGCAUAGUGUAGGAAAAUAAUACAACUGUUUAUAAUUGGAUUUUUAUUUAUUUUGAUCCAGUCAUCAAGAUUAUACAGUAAUUUUAAUCUAUCAUAAUUCUUGAGUUUUAAGAGGAGUUUAAAAUGAAAGUUAUGGAGGUGACUGAUCACUUAGUCCGGUCAAUCACAACUUAAGACGCUUUCCUGCAGCAAUUCUUCCAUCAUUCCACUUUGCCUCAGCUUCAACUGUAUUUUUAAUAUAAUAUGUGAGGAUAUUAUAUUUUUAUGAAGAUGUGAAUACACCAAUGUGCUACUCACAUUAACAAACUGCCAUUAGACCAAAUAACUUUUUUUCUCCUCGUUUUUACUGUAAUACUGUAAACAAUUUAAAAAUCUGAGUCCACAUUGAAAAUCUGAGAUUUUAAAUUCCAUUUGGUAAUAGACAGAAAGUUUGUUGAUUACGUGAAUAAGAACUGUUUAAGAUUUCUAGGUCACUAAACAACUUUAGGCAAAUACCAUACAGAAAUUAAUUUUUCUAUUCAAAUUUUCACUAAAAAUUUUAUGCUGAUAAUAUAAUUUAUCAUGAAAAUCUGUAUCAAAAAAAUACAUAUGGAACCCACCAUUUACUGAAUGCACAGUUAUUCGUCUCUGUUUAUUUACUGUACAUCUCCCUCUAAUUGUCUUUUCUAUAGAUCAGAGCCAUUGUGAUGUGAGUUACUUUUUUUAACCUUUGCUUUUUAUUUGACUUCAUUUCUAUUUAAAUAUAGAAAUGUAUAUUUGAGGAAAUGUUAAGAUUUCACUGCAUGAAUUUGUAAUAUUACUGAUUUACUUUACAAAUGUCACCCAUAUGCAUGCUGGCAACAAUACAUGAAAGAAUUAUAUUGAGCUUUUUUAUAUGUUGUUACUGCCAUUUGAUUCUUUGAUCUGUGUGCCUGUUGUGUUAUAAUCCUAACAUUCUGCAUUUAUGCUCCACUGAGAAAAAUGUCAUACAGCCUUUGCAACAACAUGAGGGUGAGUGAAUGAUAACAGAAUUUUCUUUUUGGGGGAACAAUUGCUAGGAUGCUAUUUGUUUCUCAAAAAAAAAAAAAAAAUGAAAAACAAACAGCUGAAAAACUGUCUAUACAUACAGUGUAUAUAUAUAUAUAUAUAUAGAUGAUAGAUAUUCACUGUAAUUAAUCAUAGAUUUGUGUGAUUAGAUGAGCAGCAUUUAAAGCAUAGUAAAAUACUGUAUAAACACACCUGUGAUCUCAUAUUCAUGGCAACUUAGCUUGGCAACUGCAAAUGUUAUAUAGUGAAUACAUGUUAUGUUAAUGCAUAUUUCUAUUUUCUAUAUAAAAUUGCUAAAUGUAAUUUUUCUAAUACUGCUAAAUAUUGUUAGAUUUCCUAUUCGUGCUUUAUGUUAAAAAAAUUUAACAUAAAAAGUGUUAUGUGUAAUUGUCUUUUCUAUAGAUCAGAGUUGCUUUUUUUUAACCUUUGCUUUUUAUUUGACUUUAUUUCUAUUUUAAUAUAGAAAUGUAUAUUUGAGGAAAUUUUAAGAUUUCCUAAGUUUCCUAACACCCGUUUCACACAUACUCCGUGUGCAGUGCGUAUUGCGGUGUAUACGGUACAGGAGCAGCACGCGCUAUAGUGCUUUCACAUAUGCUGCGUUUGCAGUGCGCUACUGAUCCGCAGAUUCUGUGUGCCACAAAAUCAAAAAUGUGUAAGUAAUUUUGAUUUUAAAUCCAAACGUUAACUUUGACAUUGUUUAAGACAUUGAAACAGUAUGAAAAUUAAUUUUAAUCAUUGUGAUUCUUUGUUUUACAUGUAGAUCGAGUUGUUGACAGAAGAAAAACUAUCGCGCUAUAUCUGUUGCUAAGAAGGAGAAGAAUGAGACGCAUUUGGGUUCACUCUGUCUUUUUGUAGGGUAAAAAAAUCAUAUAUGAUGGCAUUUUGCAACUUUUGGGACUAUAAUCAUACUUUUUUGUUUUUCUUGACCCUGUAAUUUAGUAACUGUAGAACACAUUAACUGUAAUUAUGCGUAUAUGAUGAAAUUAUUACAGUUUCUUGUCAAUCUGUCUAUUUUAAUGUGAACAAAUCAGAGGCGGCGGCAGCCGAUUUUGCCGGGGCUUCAGCCCCGAAUGUUUUGAGUGUAGCCCCGAAUGAAUUUUGAAAAGUUGACUGACAAAUAUGAAACCGGACAAUAGCCAAUGUAAAUCCCCGAAAUCAUAAGUUGCCUUAUUUCAUUGUGCUUUGGCUUUGCACAUACUGCAUACAGCCUGUAAAAAUAGACAUAGGCAUAAUCUAGCCUAUAGAAUAAGUUUCUUUGCUGUCGGUAGCCUAUGGGCGACUCCGUUUCUUCCUCUCUGUUGAAUAUGCAGCAGGUGGGGAGGAGCUGACAUCAACUUACGUUACUUAGUGGCGAGUUAACAGCAGUUAGUAGGAAAGACAGCAAAAAUGAAGCAAAUGAGGCUUCUAAAAUUUCCGAAAGAAGUCAGUGGGUAAGAAUUCACAUUUGUUUUUGUCCUUUAAAGUCUAAAGAUUAUCAUCUGACUGGCUUUCACCCACAGUAGGCUAAACCUCAAGAGAUCCACUACCGACUGCUAUGACAUGUUAUAGCCUCUAGCCUUGUGGUUAGCGUAUUUGCCUGUCAUGUCGGAUACCAUGGUUCGAGUCCCGUUUGGAGUAUAAUUUUCUUGUUUAUCAGGUGUUGUUUUCUCUAAGGAUAACCAAUAAGCAUUAGCAUAAAAUGUAUGUGUGACUUGUUUUGUGAUAUUACUUUGUUGUAAAUAUACACUUUGAGGGUAGCAAAGAUGUGCCAGAAUCAGGCAUGGAAACUGGCAAUUAAUCAGUCACUUUACUUUAGAGAAAGUUAAAAGUGAAACAUUGUUUAUCCCAAUGAUCCUAAUGAAAGGAUUUUGACAGAUGAACAUGGAGAAUUAUAUACAGUUCAAUGCCAUGGUGUGUCAAUGAACUUAGACUAAAGUCAUUCAUGUAUUGCUUUAACUUAGGAUCUUAUACAUCAUUUUGACUAUUUAUGUCAAAAAAUAUAAAUUAUUUAUAUGAAAAAAAAUGUUUUUACUUCACUUUACUCACUAUAAUAUAACUCAUUUGUAAUGACUUUAUGUUAAUGUACAUGAAAAUUCAAGAAUCAUGAUAGAUCUAAGGGCAAUCUCACUGAUCUGCUCUUCUUCAAUAGUAUUGGUCCACAAUUUGACAUAUGUAGCACUUGAUGAAUUAGUUGUUUGAAGCUGAUUUGCAAUAAGUUAUGUGCUGUAUCUGUUCUUUUGCAUCACAUAUGAUUCAGGGAGGAGAGAGGAUGAGUUAGUCGAGGAUAGUACUAGAGUGGAAGAUUUAGGAACUGUAGAAACAGGCCCAGCCAGAGCAAAACUCAAAGAAUACCCUCUCACCAGCUUUGGACUACAGGGAAGUGGUUGCUAGUGUGAAAAUAAAAUGGUCUGGGCUAAGCCCCGGAUGUCCUUAAAUGCUGGAAACGCCUCUGUGAACAAUGCGCUGCCACUUUAAUUCAAUGCGGUGCAGCAGAGCCAAAAUAGACUCGGUGCGGAAACGAUCGCUGCACUGCUGUAUACGCACCGCAACUGGAACGGAUCGACGGACUGCAUCCGCGUGCAGUGUAAAAGCUCUAACCUGUUAACAUGGGUACGGAAAAAAAUAUGCGCCGCAUACGCACCGCAUACACACUGCAAACGGAGUAUGUGUGAAACGGGCAUCAGUUUAUAAUUCA